AGCUCUGAAUUUAUAGUUCAAGUGUUUUAUUUCCCAACAGUGUGAGUGAAUCGUGCACGUCUGUGUUCAACAAGGAAAGGAAACACCAGGAUUGCAGGAGACACGAAACGAGGCAUGGUUUUCAAAGAAUACUGAACUAUCCAGAGCAGUCCAGCUGAUACUUGUUUACCAGGGUAGCAAGAAGACAAGGCAAAAGUAAAAAGGGUUCUGAACUUGCGGUUCCUGCGCUUUGUGGACCCUCGAAUUCUGGGCUCACAUAAGGGCCCUAGAACACUGGUGGGAGGAAAAAUGGACUAACUUGAAGGAGCUUCCUAAAUACACAAACUGUGGGCAGCAUAUCUUUGUCAGAAAGGAAAGAGGAAGUGUCCAGGGAAAGCAGACAUAGUGACCUUUUCUCGAGCUGUGUGUGUUGUCACCUCCAGGGAUGGAGGUUCUUUAGGCUGAGUGGAAGUAGACCAUCUCUCAGUUCAUGAGUAAAGAAGACCCAGGGAAGGAGGAAUAUCCUAAGCUGACCAG
rnacentral:lncRNA from 1 species